rnacentral:ncRNA from 1 species
UUUUUUAGGAGAAAAAGUCUUUGAGUACCUUACUCAAAAAAAUAAAUUAGUAAUCAGUUUACAUAUAACUUAUAUAAAGCUUGGCUCUGACUUUUUAUAUGGUGAGAACUCUAAAAUACACAUGGUUUUUUUUGAGGAAGGCGAGGUGGAAGUUAUUUAAUCUUAUUUAGAAUAUUUUAGACUUAUUUUUCUUCCAAGGUAUUAUAGCACUAUAUAAUGUCUUGAAAAGUCCCGCUAACACCAGUGCUGAAGAUUAAAAAGGGGCGGAAGCUCGCUUUAGUUUAGUUCAAUUAGAUCUGGUUAACUUGGUGCCAGCAUCCGCGGUUAAACCAAGAUGAUCAAAUUAUAUAACUUCGGUAAAAAAACAGUUAAAUUAAAUUUAUGUUUAUUAAACUUCUAUAGAAAAGUAAAAUUUAAUCAUAGACAGGAAAUUCAACUUAAGCUCAGAUAUUGAAGCUGUGAAAGCCUCGAGGGAAACUGGGAUUAGAUACCCCAUUAUUCUUGGAUGUAAAUUAAUUCUUAUUUACCAGAGUACUAUGAAUUAAAUAUUUAAAACUUAAAGGGCUUGGCGGUGUUUUAGACCCCUCAGGGGAACCUGUCUCGUAAUCGACAGUCCACGAUAAACCUAACCCUUUUUUGUAUAUCAGCUUGUAUACCGUCGUCGUCAGGUAACUUUUUAGAAGAAAGAAGUUAGCAAAAAAAUGAAAUAAAUUUUCACGUCAGAUCAAGGUGCAGCUAAUAAAAGGGGGAGGAUGGGUUACAAUUACAAAAUUGUAAUAACGAAAAGUUCUUUGAAAUAAGAAUAGGAAGGAGGACUUGAAAGUAAGAUAAAAUAUAUAAAUGUUCUGAAUAAGGCUCUGAAACGUGCACACAUCGCCCGUCGCUCUCGCUGAAAAGUGAGAUAAGUCGUAACAUAGCAGGGGUAAUGGAAAUUGCUCCUAAAC